rnacentral:rRNA from 1 species
AUUGAACGCUGGCGGCAGGCCUAACACAUGCAAGUCGAGCGGAGCGGCGGACGGGUGAGUAAUGCCUAGGAAUCGGCCUGGUAGUGGGGGAUAACGUCGGGAAACGGGCGCUAAUACCGAAUACUCUCAACUGAGACUAGGGCGGAUUAGCUAGGUGGUGGGGUAAAGGCCUACCAAGGCGAAGAGCCGUAACUGGUCUGAGAGGAUGAUCAGUCACACUGGAACUGAGACACGGUCCAGACUCCUACGGGAGGCAGCAGUGGGGAAUAUUGGACAAUGGGGGCAACCCUGAGCCAGCCAUGCCGCGUGUAUGAAGAAGGCCUUCGGGUUGUAAAGUACUUUUGUUAGGGAAGCGGUACCUAAAGAAUAAGCACCGGCUAACUACGUGCCAGCAGCCGCGGUAAUAC